rnacentral:rRNA from 1 species
ACGGAAGGCAGCAGCUAAGAAUAUUCCGCAAUGGACGAAAGUCUGACGGAGCGACGCCGCGUGGGUGAUGAAGGUCGGAAGAUUGUAAAAUCCUUUUAUAACUGAGGAAUAAGCAGGGUGAGAGAAACGCCUUGUGGUGACUGUAGGUUAUGAAUAAGCAACGGCUAAUUACGUGCCAGCAGCCGCGGUAACACGUAAGUUGCGAGCGUUGUUCGGAAUUAUUGGGCGUAAAGGGCAUGUAGGCGGUUUUGCAAGCUUGAAGUGAAAGGCAGGAGCUUAACUCCUGGACUGCGUUGAGAACUGCAUGACUAGAGUCACUGAGGGGCAAUCAGAAUUCCUGGUGUAGGGGUGAAAUCUGUAGAUAUCUGGAAGAAUACCAAUGGCGAAGGCAGCCUGCCAGCAGAUGACUGACGCUGAGGUGCGAAGGUGCGGGGAGCAAACAGGAUUAGAUACCCUGGUA